UGCAAAUAAAAUAGGAAUAAGAGGGGUUUAACCGAAGUGCUCCUAACAAAGUACUCCAACAGAUCGAUUGCUUGGACCACCAGAGUCCCAGAAAAAAAUAGAUCUGGAGAACCCAGCAGAUGACAUCGACAAACUCAUCAUCAAACUCGACAGAUUAAUCUGGUUUCCUAUUCACUUCUCUACUAUUCUCUUGUCUUCUCUCUUCGAUCGACCAAGGUGACCUCCCAUCCUCUCUUUCUCUUCCUCUUUCAUAAUUUUUGUCAAGCUUGAAAAGCCACGGCUGUCUCCACCGCAGAAUUGGUUUGAUCGGUGGGUUGGGGAGAGCUGCAGUGUAGAGGUGCGGUGGCUUGGGUAGAGCUCCGGUGCAGAGGCGCGGUGGCUUGGGUGAUCAGGUUUCGUUGAUUUGGAGUAGGUGUCGCGAAAUAUAUAUAUAUAUAUAUAUGUAUAUUGAAACCGCCUAGCCGCCCAGACCGCCCAGCCCGCCCAGACGGACGCCCAGGCCGCCUAAAUCCAAUCCGCCUCAGAGCUCCGUUUAGCCAUUACUCGCCUCGGUUUUAGAACACUGGUGUUGAUUUAUCUCUCUUUUCUCAACUCUAUACUCUCUUAAUUUAUUGUAAUUUGAUGGAUUUUGUUGUGGACUUGUUGAUGGAUUGUGAGUUGUCUAUUAGAAAACUAGGAUGCAUGCUUAGGAGCUUGAUUAACUCUUGA
rnacentral:lncRNA from 1 species